rnacentral:rRNA from 1 species
GAUGAACGCUGGCGGCGUGCCUAAUACAUGCAAGUCGAGCGAACAGACGAGGAGCUUGCUUCUCUGAUGUUAGCGGCGGACGGGUGAGUAACACGUGGAUAACCUACCUAUAAGACUGGGAUAACUUCGGGAAACCGGAGCUAAUACCGGAUAAUAUAUUGAACCGCAUGGUUCAAUAGUGAAAGACGGUUUUGCUGUCACUUAUAGAUGGAUCCGCGCCGCAUUAGCUAGUUGGUAAGGUAACGGCUUACCAAGGCAACGAUGCGUAGCCGACCUGAGAGGGUGAUCGGCCACACUGGAACUGAGACACGGUCCAGACUCCUACGGGAGGCAGCAGUAGGGAAUCUUCCGCAAUGGGCGAAAGCUUGACGGAGCAACGCCGCGUGAGUGAUGAAGGUCUUCGGAUCGUAAAACUCUGUUAUUAGGGAAGAACAAAUGUGUAAGUAACUAUGCACGUCUUGACGGUACCUAAUCAGAAAGCCACGGCUAACUACGUG